rnacentral:rRNA from 1 species
UGGUGGAGUGAUUUGUCUGGUUAAUUCCGUUAACGAACGAGACCUUAGCCUGCUAAAUAGUUACACGUGGUUCCGGUUACGUGGGCAACUUCUUAGAGGGACUUUGCGUGUCUAACGCAAGGAAGUUUGAGGCAAUAACA